rnacentral:lncRNA from 1 species
CCAGAUCUUUGAAUGUGUACGGAAUGCUCCAUAAUGACCUCCAUAUGGUGAUGAAUGACAUCUGUCGAUGAUCUUCCAUCCUUCCUCAGUGGUCACACAUCUCCAGAGUAAGCCAUCAGAGCAUACUCACAAGAGGUAUGGCUCAUCCCAUAUAUGUGAACGACUUUCUUAAGUAAGCUUCUUCUUGUUUGCUCCUGGUGGUACAUACCCUGAAACCAUAAAAUUAACAAUAUCUGCAUACCAGGGGUCAGACCUGUUAAUCCCGUAGAGCAUGUCGUCCCGGAGUGAAUCAUUGAUAGGGGUUUCCUGUGGACUCUUAAAAUACAUUCUAGACAAGUGAUCAGCAACAGAAUUUUCU